ensembl:snRNA Gm24851 predicted gene, 24851
GGGCUCGCUUCCACAGCACAUACACUAAAACUGGAACAUACAGAGAUUAGGAUGGCCCCUAUGUAAGGAUGACAUGCAAAUUCCUGAAGUGUUCCAUUAAAAA